GGUAAAAUCCGAAUUAAUGUGCAUGGGAGAGAAUGCACAGCUUGGGUAAGGAUGGGGUGAUCGGUGCUCUCGGGAGGGACCAGCUCGGGCUCGCUCUGUGUCACUGUGAAUAAUUUGCUUAAUGGAACGAGACACCCGAGACUGCCGCGGGAAUCCGGGAGUGGAGCAGGGAAGGAAACCUGGUCCGACUGCGGGAAUGGGAGCGGGGGUCAGGCGGCGCUUCCGUCGGUCACCGGAGCCGCCCCCGCGAGGGCGACGUGCGACGAUGCCGGCGAGAUGUGAGGGACACAGAUUGUAGGAUUACCGACAUCGGUAAGAACGGCUCUGUAGACGAGCGCAUAACGAGAGAUCCAUAAACAACCCUCCCUCGUCAUCCUUUUCCCAGCCCGCUGUGUUUCCAGGAUCGUGGGGGAAGAGUUUGGGUCCGGACGAGGCUCUCGGGCACAGAGGAGACAUUUAAACAAGAGGUGCCAAAAAGAACUAGAGCUUCUGCACAAUGAAAUCUGCAAGAAUCCAACUUAAAAUCCCCCCUGGAUUGUCAGAGGUUCACCUUCCAUGGAUUGGUCACCUUGGCCAGGAGCAUCCAAUCCUGCUGGAAAUGCACUGGACCAGGAUGUCACCUUCAUUUUAUGCAGCAACACAGAGGAGCAACCAGUGCCUCCCUCAGCCCACAGAUCUCCAGGACAGACCACAGAGAAAAUAACAGGAGUAUGGAAAUCCCCCACACUGGGAGUUUGUGGUGCUCUGGAUUACAUUUUGGAUUUAUGAUGUUGAAGUGAGGCUGUGGAGUGGCUUCUCUCCUUUUCAUUGUCAUUGUUAUCACUGUUCUGUUGCUCUCACUGUCAUUAUGUGUUGUCACUGAUAUUAAAUUAUUUUGUUUGUCUUGGUUUCCAUUAUUAAAGUGCUCUGAGCUGAUUUUUGUCUCUGGUCUCUCCCCCAUCCCACUGGGGGUGAGGCAGCUGCUGCUGGUGCCCAGCUGGGGUCCGGCCAUGGCCCGGGGCACUUCUGGGAGCUCCGA